rnacentral:lncRNA from 1 species
CUGGCAAGCAAGUUAAUUUUGGCUUGGAAAUAAGUAUGAAAGAAACAAAUUAUUUAAUAUCUUUACAACAUUUACCGUUUAUUCAUUUGUGUCAUUCAGACUUAUUUCAGAGUCACAACUGAAGUGAAGGUCAUCGGACAUAUGUCCGACCCAAACUCAACGUCACCGGACAUUUUGUCAGACGGCCCUGGAAAAGAUAUUUUAAGGCCUGGUCGCUUCGAAACUUC